GAUGAAGAACGUAGCGAAAUGCGAUAAGUAGUGUGAAUUGCAGACUUUAGUGAAUCAUCGAAUCUUUGAACGCACAUUGCGCCCGGUAGUAUUCUGCCGGGCAUGCCUGUUCGAGCGUCAUUUCAACCAUCAAGCCCCAGCGCUUGUGUUGGGGGCCUGCGGCUGCCGCAGCCCCCUAAAAGCAGUGGCGGGCUCGCUAUCACACCGAGUGCAGUAGUUCAUCUUCUCUCCGGUCUUGUGAGGCGGGUUCCGGCCGUGAAACACCCCACUACAUUCAAGGUUGACCUCGGAUCAGGUAGGAAUACCCGCUGAACUUAAGCAUAUCAAUAAGCGGAGGA
rnacentral:misc_RNA from 1 species